UAUGGAGUGAUUUGGGGGAGUCAAAUAAAAUUUGUUGGGUCAAUUGGGAAUCUGGAUACCUCCCAAAGUCAGAAGGAGACUUGGGAGCAAAGAACCUGUAGGCAUUCAAUAUAAGCUUGCUUGCAAAGUGGUGGUGGCGGUUUCUGACAUAUUCAAAUGCAACUUGCUGGUACCCUCUUCUCAGUUUCAGAUAUGGUCGCAUUAAUUCUGAAAUGUGUAGCCCCUCUUCUAUUAGACAAACGUCGAAUUGGUGGAAGGAUAUUAUGGCUAUUGACUUGAAUGGUAGCUGGUUCUCUGAUGCUGCAAUCUGAAAAAUUGGAGAUUGGAGCAGUUUUGGAAGGUUAGACGGGUGAGGGAUUUCAAUCUAAAAACAAUUUUGUAAGAUUAUAUCAAAUUGCAAAUAAUACAGACUGUUUGAUGGCUGAUAUGGUUGCAAUGGGUUUGGUAUUGGAGGUGACGUGUUUGGAGUCUAGUCGAUCCAAAGGUCCUCUGAUAGGAGCAGAGGGGAAAUUAGCAAGAAAAUACCUAGAAUUUGAGGACAAGGAGCCUCUCCUACUGUAAAGGUCGAUUUGCACUUCUCUUGGGCCUUUCUUCUUGGGCCUUUGUUGCAGCAAAGUCAUCUUGGUUGGUUUCGUGUAUGCUGGCUUGUUGAUUGCUAUCAUCCUCUCACGAUUUCAUGGAGGAUAUUGUUGUUCAACUGAGACUACUUCUAUUUUCAGUCACGUUGAGUGGGAUAGGCUAGACUCUUGAUCAUGGGAACAGAAUAAAAAUAGUUCUUUAACGGUGUUAUCUGCUUAUUCAUUCAUUCGUGCUGGGGUGAAUGCUUCAUAAUCAGAUACAUCCAACACAGUUAUAUUCUCAGAAGGAAGCAGAUGAAAAAAAUUCAGAAGUAUUAAUUAUUUGGCAUGCGACAUGCUGUGGGUUCACAGAAACAAUGUUAUUUUCAAAAAUGGUAUUCCAAAUGUUCCUAUAGUGUCGUUUUUCACGCUAAGAGUUUGUAAUGGUCUUGGUUCAGGUAUAAGGGAGGGACCUUGCUCAAGUGGGAUUUUGUUUGCAAACUGGUGUUCCAAUCUGUUGGAGUGCACAUUACAAUCUGGAUAAUUCUGGUUUUGAUUGUAUUUUUGCUCCUAUACAAAGAGCUUUAAUUUGCAUUUUUUUGCGUGCUUUAAUUGUAAUUUUCGUUCUGGUGUGGUCACACUUCAUGGCCAAUAACCUUUAAUAAAAUUCUUUUUGCUGUUAAAAAAAAUUAAAUUUUACAAAAACAGCUUGUAAGAAGAUGAGAGUUGUUCCUCCUCUUAUAAACUUUCAUUUGAUUGUAAGUUGA